rnacentral:rRNA from 1 species
UACGAAGGGGGCUAGCGUUGCUCGGAAUUACUGGGCGUAAAGGGCGCGUAGGCGGAUAUUUAAGUUGGGGGUGAAAUCCCGGGGCUCAACCUCGGAAUUGCCUUCAAAACUGGAUAUCUUGAGUUCGGGAGAGGUGAGUGGAACUCCGAGUGUAGAGGUGAAAUUCGUAGAUAUUCGGAAGAACACCAGUGGCGAAGGCGACUACCUGGCCCAUUCUUGACGCUGAGGCGCGAAAGCUAGGGGAGCGAACGGG